rnacentral:lncRNA from 1 species
ACCGGCCUUAUUAACAGAAUCUCUAUCUUAUAAACCGGCCAUCUUGGGAGGUUUGUGAUCUUGUCGAGUGAUAUUAUAUGGGUUGACUCUCGUUUCUCUUCUUGAUAAAGUCCAAGAGAAAAAGGUCUUCCAAAAUCGAUAGGCUGGGAAUUUGAUCCUCUCUCAUAAAGGCGCACACUCGUGAUUAGAAGAUGCAUCUACAAGUGCCAAAAAAAAAUUGAGAUUCAAUACAACAAGCAGUUUAAAUAACUGAUUGAAAAUAUACACCUUCUACAGAAGAUUAACCAUACGUAAUGCAAACUGCAAUUAGUGAUUGUGAAAAUUUAGAAACCAAAAAAGAGACGGCUUCAAUUUUGUACAAGAACAGUUCUUAGGUUUGUAGGUAAACUUGUGAAUGAGGGAGAG